AUGGCGACGGCGACGGCCUCGAGGUCGACGGUGGUGAGGCGGAGGCGGAACGCGCUGGCACAGACGCUGGCGUCGCGGAGGCUUCCGGAGGGCGUGGCGGAGCCCGGGGAGCGGGUGCCCGAAGCCUUGGCCCCAGAGGUGAUGCCAUUCAUCCGCGCAGCCGACGAGGUCGAGCUGCUCAACUCGCGGGUCGCGUUCCUCUGUCGCAGAUAUGCCUACAAGAAAGUUCAAAGAAUGGAUCCAUCAUCCAUCCAACGUGGGGUUCGGCAGUUCAAAACAUACAUGUCACUUAAGCUAGAUCAGGAUGACAUGCAAUUUCCUUUAAAUGAUUCAAAGGAGAUCCAACGAUUUUAUAAGUACUACUGUGAAAAUUUGAGCAGAACCUCUGAAAAACAGAACUUUGAGGAAUUGGCUAGAUAUUACCAAGUGGCGUCUGCUCUUUAUGAAGUGUUAAGAGAUGUAACAAACAACAAGGUUGAUUCUGAGGUGAUGAAACGUGCUAAAGUAGUAGAGGAAAAGAGUGCUCAUUUCAAGAGUUACAAGUACAACAUAGUCCCCCUCAAUUUUCCUGGUUCUGCAGAAGCAGUUGUGGAACUCCCGGAGAUAAAAAGUGCUAUAGAUGUAAUACGUAACAUAGACGGUCUUCCAAAGCUACAGAUGUCUUCAAUGCAAAGGGAAGGAAAACCUAUCUGGGAUUUACUUGACUGGCUUUCGCUAGCAUUUGGAUUUCAGAAAUCGAAUGUGGAAAAUCAGAGAGAAAAUAUGGUGUUACUGCUUGCAAAUAUUAGCACAAGGACCUCAGGACAGGAAGGGCAUCCUUUGGUCGACACUGUGAAUGAUUUGUGGGACAAAAUAUUUGGAAAUUAUGGAUCAUGGUGUCACUAUUUGCAUGUUAGUUCAAGAAUCAUGAUCAAAUAUGAUGACACAGAACUAAAGAAGCAGCAGCUAAUGCUUCUCCACAUUGGAUUGUACCUUCUUAUCUGGGGUGAGGCUUCAAAUGUCCGGUUUAUGCCUGAGUGCUUAUUCUACAUAUUCCACCAUAUGGUAAAACAGUUGAAUCAAAUGGUUGAAGAAAGUUAUUUUCAACCACCACCUGGGUUUGAAGAGGAGGGAUCAUUCCUAAACAUUGUCAUUGAACCUAUCUAUAAGGUUCUGCAGAAGGAAUCACAAAGAAGUAAAGGUGGUACAGCUGGCCACUCAGCUUGGAGAAAUUAUGAUGACUUGAAUGAACAAUUCUGGUCAGAGAAAUGUUUUAUGAAGCUUGGCUGGCCAUGGGAUCUCAGUGCAGACUUCUUUCAUCAAGAGGUAUGUCAUAACUGUGCUUAA
rnacentral:rRNA from 1 species